CAUCAUCGAGAACAAAGGUUCAAGGGUUGGCAGAGGAAGAGAAAAUAUCCACGACGUUGGAAAAGAUGAAUGAUUUUUUUUUGCCCAUUAUAAUCUGUGUUUUUAAGAAUAAAAAUAAGAUAAUUCCCUCUUGUGAGUCUAUAAAUAGGCUGAUUGGCAGUAGAGUUUAGCAGCAAACUAGCGUAGCUAGCACCCAAAUCUAGAGGUGAAAACAUGGCAUUAAUUAAAGCCUCUUCCAUCUUCUUUUGCUUCCUUGCUCUGGCUAGCUUUUUAGCUUCCAUUGAAGGAACUCAACCUACCCAUCACGUUACUCAUCUUAACAGAUCCACUUUUCCAAAAGAUUUCAUUUUCGGUGCUGGCUCAGCUGCUUACCAGUCUGAAGGAGCAGCACAUAUAGAUGGAAGGGGACCUAGUAUAUGGGAUGUUUUCACAAGGGAACAAAAAGGUCUCUUAAUCUCUCUAAUCUCUUCAAUCAAUCCUUGAACCUCUUUGCACAUCAGAUUUCAUAUGUUAUGUAUAUUCUUUUCUAUCAGAAAAUAAAAUAAAAUAAAAUGUAUAAAUGAGGUCAAUUAUUAUUAUGAUUAUUAUUAUUAUUAUUGAUGA